rnacentral:lncRNA from 1 species
UUUUGAUUUUUAUUAAUCAAUUAUUCUGGUUUUAUGAGUUUAGCACUUAGCAGGUUCAUGACUCGACUUAACAAUAAGAUUCGCCUGACAAAGGGGUUAAUUAAAGUAUAAGUUAAGCACAUUGAACAUAAGCUCACAUGCCACGCUACAGUAGGCUUCUUCAAUCAAGCUUAGGGUUGUAGACUAGUCAACCCAUUUUUGAAAUAUUUAAGAUGAGGUUGCUAAAUUUAUUAAGUUUGUUUAAUAAACGAGCCUAGAUCCCAGCUUUACUUAUCAAGCUUGACUCGGCUUGUGAUCUUAAAUGAGUUUGAUUAUGUACCCUUUUUUCUUAUCCAAAUUCCAACAAUAUUAUAUUUAACUUCUUACAAUAGUUUAUUCCCACACCAUAUACCAUAUGUGUUUAUUAUUAUUCUUUUGUAAACUCCAAGUGGGUGUUGUCCCACAUCGCCUUGGGAAAAGAAAUUAUUAGUGUUUAUAAACAUGUGUCAGUUUUCUAAAUCGCUGGACUCAGUCAUGCGAGUCUGUGACCCAAGUGGGGGCAUUAAGAUGGGUUAGAAGGUUCAUUUAAAGGGGACUAGUUAUGGUUGUAUGGUCAAGUAACCAAAGAGAAUCGUUUCGGGCUACUAAAGGUUCACGGCUCCUUUCAGUCUUUGCAGGUAUUUGUUUGGAGGAUCCAUGGUAUAAAUAAUAAAAGCCCGCCUCUGUGGGAGAGAGGAAGUCCUUGAGAGAGAGACCGCUGGCUGAUGGCUUCGAGCUAUAUAAACUGGAAGCCAAUUGGAGUAUCUGUUUCCAUCCUUACCAAGGUGGGAUGGCGUAUGAGCUGACUUAACCAGAGCAGCAACCAACAAUACCAGCUUACCAUUCGACUGUUUGAGGCGCGUGAACCGGUUCUCCUGUUGUCUUUGACCAAAUGUUCGGUAGCUCUUCCUUCUGGAUCAACACCCCAUUUUUUUAAAUAACACGGUUAAAAAAUCAGUUCUCGGUCUGAUUUGGAGAUGAACCUCAUUCACAUUUUUUGAAUGAUU